rnacentral:rRNA from 1 species
CCUACGGGGGACAGCAGUAGGGAAUCUUCCACAAUGGGCGAAAGCCUGCUGGAGCAACGCCGCGUGGGUGAAGAAGGUCUUCGGAUCGUAAAACCCUGUUGUUAGAGAAGAAAGUGCGUGAGAGUAACUGUUCACGUGUCGACGGUAUCUAACCAGAAAGCCACGGCUAACUACGUGCCAGCAGACGCGGUAAUACGUAGGUGGCAAGCGUUAUCCGGAUUUAUUGGGCGUAAAGGGAACGCAGGCGGUCUUUUAAGUCUGAUGUGAAAGCCUUCGGCUUAACCGGAGUAGUGCAUUGGAAACUGGGAGACUUGAGUGCAGAAGAGGAGAGUGGAACUCCAUGUGUAGCGGUGAAAUGCGUAGAUAUAUGGAAGAACACCAGUGGCGAAAGCGGCUCUCUGGUCUGUAACUGACGCUGAGGUUCGAAAGCGUGGGUAGCAAACAGGAUUAGAUACCCGAGUAGUC